UGGCUCAGCUGGUAAAGAAUCUGCCUGCAAUGCAGGAGACCCAGGUUCAAUCCCUGG
rnacentral:tRNA from 1 species